UUUCAGGUACAUGAAGAAUUGUGUUUAUAACAUCUUUGAAGAGGUGAAUGAAACUAAAUUCCCCGGUUUUAAGAAGACCACCUGGCUUGAGUGCAUUCAAGAACCCGGUGAAGUUAUCUUUGUUCCCAGUGGGUGGCAUCAUCAACAUUGUAUAUAACUUGGAAGACACGAUAUCUAUAAACC